rnacentral:rRNA from 1 species
CUUAAGCAUAUCAAUAAGCGGAGGAAAAGAAACUAACAAGGAUUCCCCUAGUAACGGCGAGUGAAGAGGGAAAAGCUCAAAUUUUGAAUCCGACGUCUUCGGCGUCCGAGUUGUAAUCUAGAGAAGUGUUUUCCGUGUCGGACCGUGCACAAGUUCCCUGGAACGGGGCGUCAUAGAGGGUGAGAAUCCCGUACGUGGCACGGACUCCCGGUGCUCUGCGAUACACUCUCAACGAGUCGAGUUGUUUGGGAAUGCAGCUCAAAAUGGGUGGUAAAUUCCAUCUAAAGCUAAAUAUUGGCGAGAGACCGAUAGCGAACAAGUACCGUGAGGGAAAGAUGAAAAGCACUUUGGAAAGAGAGUGAAACAGUACGUGAAAUUGUUGAAAGGGAAGCGUUUGAAGUCAGUCGCGUCUGUCGGGGUUCAGCCUGGCUUCUGCCUGGUGUAUUCCCUGUCCGACGGGUCAGCAUCAGUUUCUGCCGAGAGAGAAAGGCUUGGGGAAUGUGGCCAUCUUCGGGUGGUGUUAUAGCCCUUUGUCAUAUGUCUCGGUGGGGACUGAGGACUGCAGCGCGCCUUAUGGCCGGGGUUCGCCCUCGGUACGCGCUUAGGAUGCUGGCAUAAUGGCUUUAAGCGACCCGUCUUGAAACA